AUUGAACGCUGGCGGAAUGCUUUACACAUGCAAGUCGAACGGUAGAGGGGGCAACCCCUCGAGAGUGGCGAACGGGUGAGUAAUAUAUCGGAACGUGCCCAGUCGUGGGGGAUAACGUAGCGAAAGUUACGCUAAUACCGCAUACGAUCUAAGGAUGAAAGCGGGGGAUCGCAAGACCUCGCGCGAUUGGAGCGGCCGAUAUCAGAUUAGGUAGUUGGUGGGGUAAAGGCUCACCAAGCCAACGAUCUGUAGCUGGUCUGAGAGGACGACCAGCCACACUGGAACUGAGACACGGUCCAGACUCCUACGGGAGGCAGCAGUGGGGAAUUUUGGACAAUGGACGCAAGGCUGAUCCAACCAUUCCGCGUGCAGGAUGAAGGCCCUCGGGUUGUAAACUGCUUUUGUACGGAACGAAAAGGUCUCUCUUAAUACGGGGGGCUCAUGACGGUACCGUAAGAAUAAGCACCGGCUAACUACGUGCCAGCAGCCGCGGUAA
rnacentral:rRNA from 1 species